rnacentral:rRNA from 1 species
CGGAACUAACAGAUUUACUUCGGUAAUGACGUUAGGAAAGCGAGCGGCGGAUGGGUGAGUAACACGUGGGGAACCUGCCCCAUAGUCUGGGAUACCACUUGGAAACAGGUGCUAAUACCGGAUAAGAAAGCAGAUCGCAUGAUCAGCUUUUAAAAGGCGGCGUAAGCUGUCGCUAUGGGAUGGCCCCGCGGUGCAUUAGCUAGUUGGUAAGGUAAAGGCUUACCAAGGCGAUGAUGCAUAGCCGAGUUGAGAGACUGAUCGGCCACAUUGGGACUGAGACACGGCCCAAACUCCUACGGGAGGCAGCAGUAGGGGAUCUUCCACAAUGGACGCAAGUCUGAUCGAGCAACGCCGCGUGAGUGAAGAAGGUUUUCGGAUCGUAAAGCUCUGUUGUUGGUGAAGAAGGAU